rnacentral:rRNA from 1 species
AUUGAACGCUGGCGGCAGGCUUAACACAUGCAAGUCGAACGUGUGGCAGACGGGCGAGUAAUGUGUGCGACUCCCGCUUAUGGGGGGGUAAAACUUCGGGAAACUGUAGCUAAUACCACCAACCCUAGGAUGAGCCCAAGUGGGUUUAGGUAGUGGGUGGGGUAAAGGCUCACCAACCCGACGACCCCUAGCUGGUCUGAGAGGAUGACCAGCCACCUGGGGACGGAGACACGGCCCAGAAUCCGACGGGAGGCAGCAGUGGGGAAUAUUGCGCAAUGGGGGCAACCUGACGCAGCCAUGCAGCGGGGAUGAAGAAGGCCUUCGGGUUGUAAAGUUCUUUCGGUGGCGAGGCGUUAACUGCAGAAGAAGCACCGGCUAACUCCGUGCCAGCAGCCGCGGUAAUAC